UCACGUUGAAACCUCGGUUCCUGUACGAUCACCGAAGUUAAGCAACGUCGAGUCUGGUCAGUUCCUAGAAAGGUGACCGCUUCGGAAUACCAAGUGCUGUAAG